rnacentral:ribozyme from 1 species
AAGUUGACAAAUCGAUUACUUCUUCUUCUCUCUUUUUUCUUCUCGAUAUUUCUUUUUGUUGUUCUUCUUGUGUUUCAUGUAAAAUAAAAAAGGGAGAGGGAAGAGAAGAGGGGGGAGAAGAA